GGGCUGUAACUCAGAGCUAGAGCAUCUGCUUUGCAUGCAGAAGGUCCCAGGUUCAAUCCCCGGUGGCAUCU